AGUCCUCUCUCUUGGGGUAUGCGCACAACUUAGUUUCUAGGAUUUUUGUCCUAAGAGUUUAGGAAUAGAGAAAAAAUAAAAAAAAUUAUUUUCUUCUCCAUCUUUUUUUUACCUCUUCAUCUUUUUUAGAAGUCCAUCUUUAAUCUCUGAAAAGGUUUUAGAGAUUUGAAGAAAAGAUCCAGAUCAACAAAGAAGAAGGUCAUCGCAUAAGCUAGCAUUCCUGUGGAGACCAAUCAGAUCGGAGCUUUGAGUGAAAUUUUUAUAG
rnacentral:lncRNA from 1 species